rnacentral:rRNA from 1 species
CGUGGGUAACCUACCCAUCAGGGGGGGAUAACACUUGGAAACAGGUGCUAAUACCGCAUAACAGUUUAUGCCGCAUGGCAUAAGAGUGAAAGGCGCUUUCGGGUGUCGCUGAUGGAUGGACCCGCGGUGCAUUAGCUAGUUGGUGAGGUAACGGCUCACCAAGGCCACGAUGCAUAGCCGACCUGAGAGGGUGAUCGGCCACACUGGGACUGAGACACGGCCCAG